GCCGUUAAACGCUACCGUCACACCACCAAAUCUACCGUAAAACAUUCAGAAUCUCCGUCGGGACCGCCUUAAAUAACCAAAAUUGAUCGAAAUUGACACCAAAGUUAUCCUACCAAUCGGCCAUACGGUAACCAAUAGAAACCUCCUAUCGGCCUAUCCUUGUCAAUCGAUUAGAGCUUUACAUUUUCCGAUUAUGUGAAUAAGUUUGGAGUUUAGUGCGUCGCCUUUCCUACACCAACAAACGAACCCCUGCUUUGGAGUCCCCACCGGCCAUUGGACUCUCCUAUGGCCGCUAUUUCAAUUUCCAUGUGAUCGAGGGACCUCCAUAAAUGGUUACAAUAUCAGCCAUUGGUUCAAACUUCGAAGGUGUUCGACAAAAUGUCUAAGUGAAUCUGUUCGAGAUUGUUUGAUCCAAUGAUGGUACACAACUGAUAGCUAACAAGUAUGAAGAACCUACUGCCAUACACUAAGGAGAUGGUGUACACUGAUCACGAUGAAUGAUUCUUGGCAAUGAAUCUUCAUGGAGAUACUGGAGGCCUCGAGCAAUUCCCACUAUGAUCUUGAAUCGGGUCUCCCAUGUCAAAUAUGUUGCUCUCAUUUCAUCUGUUUAAAACAUCAUUUUUUUUUAUUUAUAAUGUAGCAAAAACAUUAAAUCAUUGGAGUUAUUUAUCUAGUAAGGCUCUAUUCUGUUCACCUUAUUUCCACUUAUUUAAAAUUCAAAUAAGUUCAGAUAAGAUAAGUUUAGAAAAAGUAAGUGAAAAUCAGGUGAAUAGAAUGCACCCUAAGUAUCCAAAUUAAAUCCACAGUAGCUGAGUUUGUUUAGCUAGGAGACUAACCAUACAAAUACCGAUCAAGGCUCUUAUUCUGUACAAGUUCGUACACAAGUAACAUCUCGCUCCCUUCUAAACAAAAACCAUAGAGUUUGACUAGAUUCUUGUGUCGAAGCAUAGCAGCUAAACAAGCCUCAGUCUUAAACUCCCUGAUUCCCUGUCCUGAAGUGUUUGAAAGCCUCUUUACAGCAACCUCUUGUCCAUUUGAGAGUUUUCCCUGCACUUAACGUUUUUAAAUUAACUAGCUUCUGAGCCUGUUCAAUGAAUGGACAAUUACGUGCAUAGUGUUUGUUAAACGGCAUUUUAAAGUGCUAAUUUUGUUAAGGGUGGAUUUAUAUCGAGUGUUAAUUUUGUUGAA